ACUCAAAGGAAUUGACGGGGGCUCACACAAGCGGUGGAGCAUGUUGCUUAAUUCGAAGCAACGCGAAGAACCUUACCUGGGCUUGACAUGCACGGAUUAACCUCAUGAAAGUGAGGCCACAUUCGCAAGAUUGGAACGUGCACAGGUGCUGCAUGGCUGUCGUCAGCUCGUGCUGUGAAGUGUCGGGUUAAGUCCCUUAACGAGCGCAACCCCUGUCGCUAGUUGCUAACGCGUCAUGGCGAGGACUCUAGCGAGACUGCCGGUGUCAAACCGGAGGAAGGUGGGGAUGACGUCAAGUCCUCAUGGCCCUUACGUCCAGGGUGGCAAACGUGCUACAAUGGCGUGUACAAAGCGAUGCGAGGCCGCGAGGCGGAGCAAAUCGCAAAAAACACGCCCCAGUUCAGAUUGAAGUCUGCAACUCGACUUCAUGAAGCCGGAAUCGCUAGUAAUCGCGGAUCAGCCAUGCCGCGGUGAAUAUGUUCCUGAGCCUUGUACACACCGCCCGU
rnacentral:rRNA from 1 species